GGAUGUGUGGAUGAGGCCACUGUAGUGCAGUGGAGCAACUGGGGGGAAAAAAAAGCCCUGUACAGAUACUGUAUUUUUUGCAAAGUGAAGGUUUGUGGUGAACUCAGUGAACUCUGUGUCCAGCAAGUCUGUUGGUGCCAUUUGCCCCACGGUGUGUCUCCAUGUCACAGAUGUUUUAUUGGGUUAUAAUAUACACAGAGAAGACAACCCACAACCUAGGAGCACAGUGGAUUUUCAUAAACGGAGCUACCCUGGCAACUGGCCCCCAGAUGGAGAAGAAGCAAGGCAUCAUCAGCGCCCAGAGAGCCCCUCGCUCGAGGCCUCCACUUGAGCGUAUACAAUUUUAAGUUUCUCUUGCUUAUAAUUUACCCAAGGUUUUCUAAGUUGCAAAUGUAUUCCUCUUUUCCCCACUGAGUUGUCACAUACAAAUCAAGAGAGGGAAAGAGCUUGUCUGAUCCUCUGGGUAAUAAUAAGCAGUGCCUUUCUGGAAUUCUUGGAUCUGGGCUUCUGGUAGUGUCCUAUGGAGCCUGGGAGAUUCGUCGAUACCUUGUUAAAAUGGGGCUCAUUUUUAUUUGUGUCCCUCCAGAAGCUCAAAUCCUUCUCCUUUACAUAUUUCAAACGAUAAAAACCCAGUUUCCCCAAAGUCAUCCAAGUGGCAUGGGUUUAUCUAAUUCAUACCCUAGUUUGUGAAAACACCAUGGAACCAACUUUAUAAAUGUUAAGCAGUUGUGGCCUUGGGGUACAGAGGAAAGUGGUGGAAGAAUGAUGCUCGGGGCAAACAUUCUUGUCCCGAGGCUUCUAGGGGUAAAUGGUCUCUCCUCCCCAACCUCUCUGUUUCCCAGUGAGUCUUGUUUGAAGGCCUAUAGCUGGACUUCCCUUCCC